CAGGCUUAACACAUGCAAGUCGAGGGGCAUCAGGAAGAAAGCUUGCUUUCUUUGCUGGCGACCGGCGCACGGGUGAGUAACACGUAUCCAACCUGCCCUUUACUCGGGGAUAGCCUUUCGAAAGAAAGAUUAAUACCCGAUAGCAUAAUGAUUCCGCAUGGUUUCAUUAUUAAAGGAUUCCGGUAAAGGAUGGGGAUGCGUUCCAUUAGGUUGUUGGUGAGGUAACGGCCCACCAAGCCUUCGAUGGAUAGGGGUUCUGAGAGGAAGGUCCCCCACAUUGGAACUGAGACACGGUCCAAACUCCUACGGGAGGCAGCAGUGAGGAAUAUUGGUCAAUGGGCGCUAGCCUGAACCAGCCAAGUAGCGUGAAGGAUGAAGGCUCUAUGGGUCGUAAACUUCUUUUAUAUAAGAAUAAAGUGCAGUAUGUAUACUGUUUUGUAUGUAUUAUAUGAAUAAGGAUCGGCUAACUCCGUGCCAGCAGCCGCGGUAAUACGGAGGAUCCGAGCGUUAUCCGGAUUUAUUGGGUUUAAAGGGAGCGUAGGUGGACUGGUAAGUCAGUUGUGAAAGUUUGCGGCUCAACCGUAAAAUUGCAGUUGAUACUGUCAGUCUUGAGUACAGUAGAGGUGGGCGGAAUUCGUGGUGUAGCGGUGAAAUGCUUAGAUAUCACGAAGAACUCCGAUUGCGAAGGCAGCUCACUGGACUGCAACUGACACUGAUGCUCGAAAGUGUGGGUAUCAAACAGGAUUAGAUACCCUGGUAGUCCACACAGUAAACGAUGAAUACUCGCUGUUUGCGAUAUACAGUAAGCGGCCAAGCGAAAGCAUUAAGUAUUCCACCUGGGGAGUACGCCGGCAACGGUGAAACUCAAAGGAAUUGACGGGGGCCCGCACAAGCGGAGGAACAUGUGGUUUAAUUCGAUGAUACGCGAGGAACCUUACCCGGGCUUAAAUUGCAGUGGAAUGAUGUGGAAACAUGUCAGUGAGCAAUCACCGCUGUGAAGGUGCUGCAUGGUUGUCGUCAGCUCGUGCCGUGAGGUGUCGGCUUAAGUGCCAUAACGAGCGCAACCCUUAUCUUUAGUUACUAACAGGUUAUGCUGAGGACUCUAGAGAGACUGCCGUCGUAAGAUGUGAGGAAGGUGGGGAUGACGUCAAAUCAGCACGGCCCUUACGUCCGGGGCUACACACGUGUUACAAUGGGGGGUACAGAAGGCAGCUAGCGGGUGACCGUAUGCUAAUCCCAAAAUCCUCUCUCAGUUCGGAUCGAAGUCUGCAACCCGACUUCGUGAAGCUGGAUUCGCUAGUAAUCGCGCAUCAGCCACGGCGCGGUGAAUACGUUCCCGGGCCUUGUACACACCGCCCGUCAAGCCAUGGGAGCCGGGGGUACCUGAAGUACGUAACCGCAAGGAUCGUCCUAGGGUAAAACUGGUGACUGGGGCUA
rnacentral:rRNA from 1 species